rnacentral:rRNA from 1 species
UACGAAGGGGGCUAGCGUUGCUCGGAAUCACUGGGCGUAAAGCGCACGUAGGCGGAUUGUUAAGUCAGGGGUGAAAUCCUGGAGCUCAACUCCAGAACUGCCUUUGAUACUGACGGUCUUGAGUCCGGGAGAGGUGAGUGGAACUCCGAGUGUAGAGGUGAAAUUCGUAGAUAUUCGGAAGAACACCAGUGGCGAAGGCGGCUCACUGGCCCGGUACUGACGCUGAGGUGCGAAAGCGUGGGGAGCAAACAGGG